GAUGAACGCUAGCGGCAGGCCUAAUACAUGCAAGCCGAACGGCAAGUUGAGUAGCAAUACUUGACCUAGAGUGGCGUAAGGGUGCGUAACACGUAUGCAAUCUGCCCUCAACAGGAGGAUAGCUCCCCGAAAGGGGAAUUAACCCUCCAUGGGAUCUUAGAGUGGCAUCACUUAGAGAUUAAACCGCAAGGGGUUGAGGAUGAGCAUGCGCAUGANAGUUAGUUGGCGGGGUAACGGCCCACCAAGACGAUGAUCAUUAGGGGAACUGAGAGGUUGACU
rnacentral:rRNA from 1 species